GAUGAACGCUGACAGAAUGCUUAACACAUGCAAGUCAACUUGUGGCGGACGGGUGAGUAACGCGUAAAGAACUUGCCUCACAGCUAGGGCCAACAUUUGGAAACGAAUGCUAAUACCUGAUACUGUGAGAGAGCUUUGCGUCCCAUUAGCUAGUUGGAGAGGUAACGGCUCACGAAGGCGAGGAUGGGUAGCCGGACUGAGAGGGUGAUCGGGCACAGGGGGACUGGGGCACGGGCCUUACUCAUUCGGGAGGAAGGAGUGGGGAACAGUGGAAAACGGACCAAAGUCUGAUGCAGGAAUUCUGGUUGCACGAUGAAGUUUUAGGAAUGUAAAGUGAUUUCAGUUGGCAAGCGGUACCAACAGAAGAAGUGACGGCUAAAUACGUGCCAGCAGCCGCGGUAAUAC
rnacentral:rRNA from 1 species